rnacentral:rRNA from 1 species
AGCAACGCGAAGAACCUUACCAGGUCUUGACAUCCUCUGAAAACCCUAGAGAUAGGGCUUCUCCUUCGGGAGCAGAGUGACAGGUGGUGCAUGGUUGUCGUCAGCUCGUGUCGUGAGAUGUUGGGUUAAGUCCCGCAACGAGCGCAACCCUUGAUCUUAGUUGCCAUCAUUAAGUUGGGCACUCUAAGGUGACUGCCGGUGACAAACCGGAGGAAGGUGGGGAUGACGUCAAAUCAUCAUGCCCCUUAUGACCUGGGCUACACACGUGCUACAAUGGACGGUACAAAGAGCUGCAAGACCGCGAGGUGGAGCUAAUCUCAUAAAACCGUUCUCAGUUCGGAUUGUAGGCUGCAACUCGCCUACAUGAAGCUGGAAUCGCUAGUAUCGCG